GUUAGCGGCGGACGGGUGAGUAACACGUGGGUAACCUACCUAUAAGACUGGAAUAACUUCGGGAAACCGGAGCUAAUGCCGGAUAACAUUUGGAACCGCAUGGUUCUAAAGUAAAAGAUGGUUUUGCUAUCACUUAUAGAUGGACCCGCGCCGUAUUAGCUAGUUGGUAAGGUAACGGCUUACCAAGGCAACGAUACGUAGCCGACCUGAGAGGGUGAUCGGCCACACUGGAACUGAGACACGGUCCAGACUCCUACGGGAGGCAGCAGUAGGGAAUCUUCCGCAAUGGACGAAAGUCUGACGGAGCAACGCCGCGUGAGUGAUGAAGGUUUUCGGAUCGUAAAACUCUGUUAUUAGGGAAGAACAAAUGUGUAAGUAACUGUGCACAUCUUGACGGUACCUAAUCAGAAAGCCACGGCUAACUACGUGCCAGCAGCCGCGGUAAUACGUAGGUGGCAAGCGUUAUCCGGAAUUAUUGGGCGUAAAGCGCGCGUAGGCGGUUUCUUAAGUCUGAUGUGAAAGCCCACGGCUCAACCGUGGAGGGUCAUUGGAAACUGGGAAACUUGAGUACAGAAGAGGAAAGUGGAAUUCCAUGUGUAGCGGUGAAAUGCGCAGAGAUAUGGAGGAACACCAGUGGCGAAGGCGACUUUCUGGUCUGUAACUGACGCUGAUGUGCGAAAGCGUGGGGAUCAAACAGGAUUAGAUACCCUGGUAGUCCACGCCGUAAACGAUGAGUGCUAAGUGUUAGGGGGUUUCCGCCCCUUAGUGCUGCAGCUAACGCAUUAAGCACUCCGCCUGGG
rnacentral:rRNA from 1 species